rnacentral:misc_RNA from 1 species
CCGAGUGCGGGCCCUCUGGGUCCAACCUCCCACCCGUGUUUAUUGUACCUUGUUGCUUCGGCGGGCCCGCCAUUCUGGCCGCGAAGGGGCACCUGCCCCUACGCCCGCGCCCGCCGAAGACAUCUCGAACUCUGUCUGAAGAUUGAAGUCUGAGUGGAAUUACAAAUUAGUUA